AUGCACAUCAUUGGAUACAUCAUGAGUUAUAUUUUCAGAAUGUACAUGUUUGGUAUUGUAGAUGUAGACAGUUUUCUCUAUACACUGGGUCAAAGUUGGCAAAGUUUGACUUCCACAAAAAUCUAUAGACACUACAUUUUGGAAUGGAGGGAGUACAUUUAUUGCCAUUGCAUUUUACCUUCUUCCUAUUGCAGACCAUCGCUAUUCUUUGCAUGCCAUAGAGCCAUAGAAUCUACCGUGCAAUUUGACUCCCAUCUCCUGCUGUGUAGACGUCAAGAGUAUGAGAAACAUAAUCGCCAUACCAUCUGA
rnacentral:rRNA from 1 species